rnacentral:rRNA from 1 species
AAUGAACGCUGGCGGCGCGCCUAAUACAUGCAAGUCGAGCGAGAAGACGUAGCAAUACGUUUGUAAAGCGGCGAACGGGUGAGGAAUACAUGGGUAACCUACCCUCGAGUGGGGAAUAACUAGCCGAAAGGUUAGCUAAUACCGCGUACGCUUCUUGGACUUCGGUUCAGGGAGGAAAGCGAUACCGUGGGUAUCGCGCUCUUGGAUGGGCUCAUGUCCUAUCAGCUUGUUGGGAGGUAACGGCUCACCAAGGCUUCGACGGGUAGCUGGUCUGAGAGGACGAUCAGCCACACUGGCACUGCGACACGGGCCAGACUCCUACGGGGGGCGA